rnacentral:tRNA from 1 species
UGGCGUCCUGUGCGGGGAUCGAACCCGCAAAUCCUACCUUGAAAGGGUAGUGACUUUACCAGUUUGUCUAACAGGAC